rnacentral:lncRNA from 1 species
CUGAUAUGUCUAAAACGUAAGGAAGGAUUGGGUAAGAUUGGCAAGGAGACGUGGACUUCAUUGUCAACAUUUUUUUGAGACGGGGUCUUGCUGUUGCCCAGGCUGGCAUGCAGUAGCAUGAUCACAGCUCACUGCAGCUUCAACCUCCCCCUGCUCCGGUGAUCCCCCCACCUCAGCCUCCUGAGUAGCUGGGACUACAGGUGCAUGCUAAUUUUUUUAAAAUUUUUUUUGUAGAGACAGGGUUUCACCACAUUGCCCAGGCUGGUCUUAAACUCCUGGCUCAAGCGAUCCACCCGCCUUGGCUUCCCAAAGUGCUGGGAUUACAGGUGUGAGCCACUGUGCCCAGCCUAUUGUCGAAUCAUAUUUUCAGUCUCUGGCCGCUUUUACAUGUGGGUAGUGACGUGGCAGCAGACAGGUGUCACUGGCUUCAGGAAGGGCCUGGUGGAGGUGGGUCAGUUUCUAGGUUAACCAGGUUUCUGUUUCAAGAUGCAACUGAUACUAUGACACCCCCCCCACCCCCGAGUCCAACACACCUCUGCUGCAUUCCCUUCAGGCUAAGGUGCAGCCUGCAGCAGUGUACAGAAGGAAUGCCGUGCACAGCAGGGGAUCUGUGUUUGAAAUGAUUUAAAGACACAACGUAUUGCCUGGAGCAAUUCCACUGCGUCUGGAAGAUGCUAGGCUGGUGCCUUGGGAACAGAAUCACAGCAGCUGGAGAGCUGGGCUGAACCCGGGAGCCUCUGCAGGCUCCCCAGUGCAGCCAAGAUCUCUGGAGGAGAGGAGGCCCCUGAAAGGCAGAAGGUAGCGUCCAGGACCAGGGCCCCUGAAAGGCAGAAGGAAGCGUCCAGAACCAGUGAAAUGAGAGUGCAUCAGCCAGCAGAAAAAGGAAACUGAAGGCGUCGACAAGAGCAGCGGCUUUGCAGAGGGAAGCGUCUAGAGACCGUGGGAGCACGCUGGACACCAGCGCUAAGCAGCACUUGCAGUGAGGACCUGGCUGAGCCCCCAGGAUCCCCCCAACGUAGCUGGCCGCCUUGGGGAGCUCUCUUCCCCAACCCACAGAUGCCACCAACCCUGGUGGCAUGACACGACACUCAAGAUUCCCUUGGGAGCGGGGGUCACAGGCCUGGGGCCUGCCAUGAGGCCACGGGGCCUCCUGCUUCCCAUGCUGAUAGCAAACGCGCCUUUCAGAGCCCUUCCCGCAUCUCCUCACUACAGAGCACUUCAUAGGCGCUCACAAUGAAGAAGUGGGGAGAGGGAGAGAAGCAGAUAAAAGGGAAAGCGGAAAUGUGGCAUUUUAGUUAUUUAAUAAAGGUAAACUUGAACUAUAUGAUGCAAUGAUUCAUUUGAAAUCAAUGUUCCAAUAUCAAACUUUAAUUGUGUAAGUUAUGAGAACAGUCAUGCCUUGUGCCCACAGUUUAAAAGACAGCCAUCUAAAAAACUUCUUGGCAAAU